rnacentral:rRNA from 1 species
AUUGAACGCUGGCGGCAUGCUUUACACAUGCAAGUCGAACGGUAACAGGCCGCAAGGUGCUGACGAGUGGCGAACGGGUGAGUAAUGCAUCGGAACGUGCCCAGUCAUGGGGGAUAACGCAGCGAAAGCUGUGCUAAUACCGCAUACGCUCUAUGGAUGAAAGCGGGGGACCGUAAGGCCUCGCGCGAUUGGAGCGGCCGAUGUCAGAUUAGCUAGUUGGUGGGGUAAAGGCCCACCAAGGCGACGAUCUGUAGCUGGUCUGAGAGGACGACCAGCCACACUGGGACUGAGACACGGCCCAGACUCCUACGGGAGGCAGCAGUGGGGAAUUUUGGACAAUGGGCGCAAGCCUGAUCCAGCAAUGCCGCGUGCAGGAGGAAGGCCUUCGGGUUGUAAACUGCUUUUGUACGGAACGAAACGGUCUGGGUUAAUACCCUGGGCUAAUGACGGUACCGUAAGAAUAAGCACCGGCUAACUACGUGCCAGCCGCCGCAGUAACAC